GCUUCCCUUGUCUUGGGGUUGUGUGGCUAUUCAAUAAACAUGUAGUGAGAGAAGCCCUGCUAACACCAUGCCAACACAUUUGCAUCACCGGAGCACUAGUUUGGGCUGUGGUGUAAUUUUUGGAACA